UACGUAGGGGGCAAGCGUUGUCCGGAAUUAUUGGGCGUAAAGAGCGCGUAGGCGGUCCGAUAAGUCGGCUGUGAAAGUCAGGGGCUCAACCCUUGAAAGCCGGCCGAUACUGUCGGACUAGAGUCCGGAAGAGGCAAGUGGAAUUCCCGGUGUAGCAGUGAAAUGCGUAGAGAUGUGGAGGAACACCGAUGGCGAAGGCAGCCCCCUGGGCUGAGAUUGACGCUCAGGCACGAAAGCGUGGGGAGCAAACAGG
rnacentral:rRNA from 1 species